UCCUGGGCARACCAAAACUCCAGMCGACGUAAUGGCAAAGGUUUCCUUGAACAGCAAAAACAUUAAGCGAGGACUCAUCCAUCUGGAGACACUUUUAAAGCCCAGGAUAUCAUCAGGGUGAUUGCACGCAGGUGGUACAAUUAGGAGCAGGAACCAAGCAGAAGGGUUAAUGCUCCUGUACGGGACCGUCUGUCUGACCUGCGGUGUGAGACAGAGGAGAGGAGAGGAGAGGAGAGGAGAGGAGAGGAGAAGCUCAGCUCCAUGUUUGAGUCCAGCAGAACCUGUACAGCAGCUGAUUCCGUCUGGAUUUGACUUUACAAACUACUCUGGUUACUUUUUUUAAAGUUAAGGGACAUUACAGCUGCGCUGCCCAGCGCUAUUUAUAGAACAUGAAUGGACACGCGGGAACCUGGUCGCACGUGGGGUCUGUGUUGGUGAAUCUAAAUUAUUGAUAAGGU